GGGGCUGGGGCUCAGUGGUAGAGUGCUUGCUUAGCAUGUGUGAGGCAAUGAGUUCGAUCCUCAUAGCCACA
rnacentral:tRNA from 1 species